UACAGAGGUCUCAAGCGUUGUUCGGAUUCAUUGGGCGUAAAGGGUGUGCAGGUGGCGCGCUAAGUCGGGUGUGAAAUUUCGGAGCUUAACUCCGAAACUGCAUUCGAUACUGGCGUGCUUGAGGACUGGAGAGGAGACUGGAAUUCAUGGUGUAGCAGUGAAAUGCGUAGAGAUCAUGAGGAAGACCAGUGGCGAAGGCGGGUCUCUGGACAGUUCCUGACACUGAGACACGAAGGCCAGGGGAGCAAACGGG
rnacentral:rRNA from 1 species